rnacentral:tRNA from 1 species
UUCACGUAGAUUGAUCUCCAACGGCAAAACCGCUGACUGUUAAUCAGCGGGUCGCUGGUUCGAGCCCAGCAGGCGGAGCCA